CACGUAGGGCGCGAGCGUUGUCCGGAAUUAUUGGGCGUAAAGAGCUCGUAGGCGGCCUGUUGCGUCCGCUGUGAAAGCCCGGGGCUUAACCCCCGGGGUCUGCAGUGGAUACGGGGCAGGCUAGAGGUAGGUAGGGGAGAAUGGAAUUCCCGGUGUAGCGGUGAAAUGCGCAGAUAUCGGGAGGAACACCGGUGGCGAAGGCGGUUCUCUGGGCCUUACCUGACGCUGAGGAGCGAAAGCAUGGGGAGCAAACAGG
rnacentral:rRNA from 1 species